rnacentral:lncRNA from 1 species
AUGGAUCAAGAAACGUCUUUUAAAUCAAACAAAUUUUCCCCCAGUCAUUUCAGCUCUACCCAUGACUGUAAAACAUUGCUGUGUAAACCAAAAUGGCUUUCAAUGUGCAAAGCUAUAGAAAAUAAUACAUUGGUGGUCUUUAUGUUUCACCUCCUAUGUGAAAUCUUCAUUGAUGCCUUCCACCCAGCAACGUUCUACAAAACAGUAAUUCCUUCCACUCUGAAGAUAUGCCAAGACCACAAGAAUUUGAAUGCCACAGAACACCUGCAAAGCAGGCAAAAAGAAAUGAAGACUUGCAAAGGAGGAGGAUGGGCAGGGAGCAUGAGUAUCUUCUUAUCCACUGAUGAUCAAAUAACCACCAUUGGAAAUUCUUCAUUGUCCACACAGAUUAUGAAGUGCACUCAAGAAGUAGUAAGACCUGAAGACCUGACCAAAUUAGAAGGAAAGUCUGCACACAACCAGCAUGGCCAUGCCUGGGAGUUCUGGCUUCACUGUGGCUGAAUUAAGCUUGGGGAAAUGCCUGAAACAUUAGUGCUCUGGAUGGUACUGGUUAGCUGGAGAAUCAGGCUUGGAAGAAGAAGGAACUAAGUGAGCUCUGAAGGACUCAGGAGCACAGAACAGGCUAUGUGGAUGCUGGCUUCUUGGCUGCUGCAAAGAACAAGCUCUGAGGAAUGGAGUCACACUGCAUUUGGGAUCCCAAGUCUCAGAUAAUGUGACUGCAUAGAAGGUGUUGAGGAAGAAGAUCCAGUUUCUUCUUUUACCUCCCACUGGGAGAGCAUGCCAACCACGACAGAGGGCUUACCAGAAAGAAACCAAGGGGCCCUUGACAUCUUAGGGACAUGAG